rnacentral:tRNA from 1 species
GGAGAGAUGUCUGAGUGGUUUAAGGAGCCGGUCUUGAAAACCGGUGACCCGCAAGGGCCGUGGGUUCGAAUCCCACUCUCUCCGCCA